AUAUUGGUCAAUGGGGGCAACCCUGAACCAGCCAUGCCGCGUGCAGGAAGACGGCCCUACGGGUUGUAAACUGCUUUUAUACCGGAAUAAUUUCCCUAUCGUGAUAGGGGUUGAAUGUACGGUAAGAAUAAGGAUCGGCUAACUCCGUGCCAGCAGCCGCGGUAAUACGGAGGAUCCAAGCGUUAUCCGGAUUUAUUGGGUUUAAAGGGUGCGUAGGCGGCUUUUUAAGUCAGGGGUGAAAGACGGUGGCUCAACCAUCGCAGUGCCUUUGAUACUGAAGAGCUUGAUUGAACUUGAGGUAGGCGGAAUGUGACAAGUAGCGGUGAAAUGCAUAGAUAUGUCACAGAACACCGAUUGCGAAGGCAGCUUACUAAGGUUUUAAUGACGCUGAUGCACGAAAGCGUGGGGAUCAAACAGG
rnacentral:rRNA from 1 species